GCGGUGGUAGCUCAGUUGGUAGAGCAUCAGCCUUCCAAGCUGAGGGUCGCGAGUUCGAACCUCGUCCGCCGCU
rnacentral:tRNA from 1 species